UGACAGAGAGUAUGCACAGGUGCGGG
rnacentral:piRNA from 1 species